AGUCGAACGGUGAAGCAGAGCUUGCUCUGUGGAUCAGUGGCGAACGGGUGAGUAACACGUGAGCAAUCUGCCCCUGACUCUGGGAUAAGCGCUGGAAACGGCGUCUAAUACCGGAUACGAGCUGCGACCGCAUGGUCAGUAGCUGGAAAGAAUUUCGGUCAGGGAUGAGCUCGCGGCCUAUCAGCUUGUUGGUGAGGUAAUGGCUCACCAAGGCGUCGACGGGUAGCCGGCCUGAGAGGGUGACCGGCCACACUGGGACUGAGACACGGCCCAGACUCCUACGGGAGGCAGCAGUGGGGAAUAUUGCACAAUGGGCGAAAGCCUGAUGCAGCAACGCCGCGUGAGGGAUGACGGCCUUCGGGUUGUAAACCUCUUUUAGCAGGGAAGAAGCGAAAGUGACGGUACCUGCAGAAAAAGCGCCGGCUAACUACGUGCCAGCAGCCGCGGUAAUACGUAGGGCGCAAGCGUUAUCCGGAAUUAUUGGGCGUAAAGAGCUCGUAGGCGGUCUGUCGCGUCUGCUGUGAAAACCCGAGGCUCAACCUCGGGCCUGCAGUGGGUACGGGCAGACUAGAGUGCGGUAGGGGAGAUUGGAAUUCCUGGUGUAGCGGUGGAAUGCGCAGAUAUCAGGAGGAACACCGAUGGCGAAGGCAGAUCUCUGGGCCGUAACUGACGCUGAGGAGCGAAAGGGUGGGGAGCAAACAGGCUUAGAUACCCUGGUAGUCCACCCCGUAAACGUUGGGAACUAGUUGUGGGGUCCAUUCCACGGAUUCCGUGACGCAGCUAACGCAUUAAGUUCCCCGCCUGGGGAGUACGGCCGCAAGGCUAAAACUCAAAGGAAUUGACGGGGACCCGCACAAGCGGCGGAGCAUGCGGAUUAAUUCGAUGCAACGCGAAGAACCUUACCAAGGCUUGACAUAUAGAGGAAACGUCUGGAAACAGUCGCCCCGCAAGGUCUCUAUACAGGUGGUGCAUGGUUGUCGUCAGCUCGUGUCGUGAGAUGUUGGGUUAAGUCCCGCAACGAGCGCAACCCUCGUUCUAUGUUGCCAGCACGUAAUGGUGGGAACUCAUGGGAUACUGCCGGGGUCAACUCGGAGGAAGGUGGGGAUGACGUCAAAUCAUCAUGCCCCUUAUGUCUUGGGCUUCACGCAUGCUACAAUGGCCGGUACAAAGGGCUGCAAUACCGUGAGGUGGAGCGAAUCCCAAAAAGCCGGUCCCAGUUCGGAUUGAGGUCUGCAACUCGACCUCAUGAAGUCGGAGUCGCUAGUAAUCGCAGAUCAGCAACGCUGCGGUGAAUACGUUCCCGGGUCUUGUACACACCGCCCGUCAAGUCAUGAAAGUCGGUAACACCUGAAGCCGGUGGCCCAACCCUUGUGGAGGAGCCGUCGAAGGUGG
rnacentral:rRNA from 1 species